rnacentral:lncRNA from 1 species
AUCCCCUCCCUCUCUCAGACCCCCCAAUUCUCUCUAACCUAAACCCUAAUUAAUCAGUCGCCCCCAUAUUCUUUUAUCAAAGCUCGCCGCGGCGAGGACAUCAGUUACACCAACAACCACCAAAAUUACACCCUAACACCGCCUCUGUAUCCUCAUUUCAAAUCUACCCUUCUUUUCCUUCGAAUCAACCUCAAAGGUAUUGAUUCUUGAUUCGAAGUUGAUGAACCCUAGGCGCCGCCCUCGAAUCCUAGUGGCGGCGGCGCCUCUUUUUCACACCAAAUUAAUACCAGAUGAUUGUCGUCCUUCCCCCAUCAGUAAUACCUACCCAUAAAUCCUUCGAAUCCAAGUAAAAGGCCUCGAAUGUCAGAUCUAGGGUUGGGGAGUCGAAGCUAUACAAAGGUAGAAUGUUUUUCGUAGUAAGUUUCUAAUAGAUCA